GAGGGUAUAGGACAGUGAUAGCGUACAUACUUAGCAUGCAUGGGGUCCUGGGUUCAAUCCCCAGUACCUCCA
rnacentral:tRNA from 1 species